rnacentral:rRNA from 1 species
GACGAACGCUGGCGGCGUGCUUAACACAUGCAAGUCGAACGAGAAGAGAUGAGAAGCUUGCUUCUUAUCAAUUCGAGUGGCAAACGGGUGAGUAACGCGUAAGCAACCUGCCCUUCAGAUGGGGGACAACAGCUGGAAACGGCUGCUAAUACCGAAUACGUUCUUUUUGUCGCAUGGCAGAGGGAAGAAAGGGAGGCUCUUCGGAGCUUUCGCUGAAGGAGGGGCUUGCGUCUGAUUAGCUAGUUGGAGGGGUAACGGCCCACCAAGGCGACGAUCGGUAGCCGACCUGAGAGGGUGAUCGGCCACAUUGGAACUGAGAAACGGUCCAG